GCACCUGCGGCCUAGCGGUUAGCGCGUUCCCUCUUGGAUCUGAAGGUCGCGGGUUCGACCCCCACCCGGGGUA